UUCAUGUCUCUCUCUCUCUCUCUCCCUCCCCCCCUCCCUCUCUUUUGAGACAAAGUCUUAUUAUGUAGCCCCAGGCUGGCCUUGAACUCACAGCCAUCCUCCUGCUUCAGCCUCCUGAGUGCUGGGAUGAGAGGUCCGGCGCCCACUGGGAGCCUUGGAACUUAUGCCCCUCCGAUAUCAGGGGACAACUGUAUCUCCUAAUCAAGAAGGUAAGAAGAGACCACAAGUCUGAUGGAUGAAGGAUUCUAGUUAGCAAGACAGACUCCAUAUUGCUGCUGAAUGACCCACCUGCCUGUCCCUUUAGAUGAACUCAAAAGGAGGAAGCUUAGAAACCUCCUCCCCUUAGAGAGUCUCUUAGAAACAAAAAUUAAUCAACUAUUGUUUUACAAAUGUUAUAACGACAGGAUGUUCCCCUCUAUACCUUUUGCUUGCUUUGCUAGUUCUAUCCCAUAGGGGGGCCUAGAAACCGUUGGCCUCAAAGGUGUAUAAAAUAUGUUAAUCGAGCCCCGACUGGGGGCUGGAGUCCGAUGCUCGGCUGGGGUCCGGC
rnacentral:lncRNA from 1 species